rnacentral:RNase_P_RNA from 1 species
CGAGUCAGCCAGGCGGCCGCGUCAGGGCCUUCGUGGUCCUGCCGAGGAACGUCCGGGCUCCGCAGGGCAGGGUGGUGGGUAACGCCCACCCGGGGUGACCCGCGGGACAGUGCCACAGAGAACAGACCGCCACGUCGCAUUUCGGUGCGACGGGGUAAGGGUGAAACGGUGGUGCAAGAGACCACCAGCGCACCGGGUGACCGGUGCGGCUAGGCAAACCCCACCCGGAGCAAGGCCAGACAGGGAGCGUCCGAGGGCUGCCCGCCCGAGCUCCCGGGUAGGCCGCUGGAGGCGUGCGGCGACGCACGUCGUAGAUGGAUGGUCGCCACCCGCGCGUGGGCAACCGCGCACGGGGACAGAACCCGGCGUACCGGCUGACUCGUCCG